CCCGACAAACAGCUCGCACCUUUACGUGGUGUUGGGGAUAAGUAUGCAUUUGCAGAAACCAAGUCGAGC
rnacentral:ribozyme from 1 species